CACGUAUGUAUAUACAAACCAAAAUGGACUUUUACCUCAACCUAUUACCAUUUUCGAUAACUUUUAUUGUGUUACACAACAUUAGGAGUUAUGUGAGGAUGUUAUUUUUUACACCAAUGCACCUUGUUUUUUCUUUGUGGUAUUCGACACAAGCUCAGGUCAGGUGGGAAAAGGUGGGUUUGAGACAAGGAAGAGAAGCUGUGCCGGGUUAGGGCGUGGUUCUCAACUGUAAAGCUGAUGUCAUACAUGCAAGAACACAAAUAGCAUAGUGGACAUUCAGUAGGCUGGCUCGACCAAUCACAAUGAAGGAGACACACCUGCUUGGUGCUUGGUGCAAGGUGAUUGGUUACAUUACAGAAAGACAUUGGGGUAGGGCUUGUAGGUGUACAUGUAAACCAAGCCCUUUACAAACUCAGACUCUUUGCAUUAAGAGCUUAACCAGGUAACAUCACCACCGCGCUGUGGCCUGUCAACGGCGGACAUCAACGAAUGGACAUCACCUCUGGUAUCUGCCUUUCUGCUUCCCCACUGCAUCAACUGAUCUCCUGAAUCUCUGAAGCUUCUUUUUUUCUGACCCCGGCAUGCAAGAAAUAAUUUGUCCUUCGACAAAAGGAGGAAAGAGGCCUCUAGUCCUGGUCUGUCUACACGCUGCCUGGCUGAAGACUGGCAGGGAGCUGAGCGUAUCUCUGGGUUUUUCCUUUCAUGGCGCCUUGAAUGACCAGAAUCAGACUGGAUGUGGUUCUCUCUCGCUUGGGCUCCAGGGAGAAAUUUGAGAAAAGUUCCCCCCUUUUUUCCUUUCUCCCUCCAGAACCUUUUUUUUUUUUACAUUCUUCCUUUACCACUCUAUUCACAACGGGUGAAGAGUUACAUGAUGCAUUUGCGAGCCUAGAACAUGUUUUAAAUUCGUUAAUAAAGGUUGUUCUAAGCAGUUUCAAUUGGAGCCAAAUGAUACAGAUCCUUUAGCUUAAAGGGAACAAGUGAUCAUCUUUGUUCAUGUACCAAGCUGAUACCAUCCACAAUUCAAGAAAAACUACUGUCAUGUGACCAAAAAGCCACCUUUCAUAUAGUGUAAAAUGUUAUCAACAAAACAACAUUUUUGUGUCAGACUUCUUAUUAGGUGUCUAACAAGUUAGCUACCUCCAUAUAUACAGUGGCGAGAACAAGUGUAUUUGAUACCUGCAAAAUCGGCAGUGUUUUCCCACUUACAAAG
rnacentral:lncRNA from 1 species